rnacentral:ncRNA from 1 species
AGAGUAAAAAUGCGUUCGCUAUAUCGGUUUUGCCGGUAUUACAGUGCUGAUUGGACGGGGAGUUGCCGAUCAGACGAAAGGUCGUAUGACUUGCGGUUCGCAUUUUGCAUCCCGCU